rnacentral:lncRNA from 1 species
AGGUGAGUCUAGCCUGGUCCGCUGCCCACAAUCCCCUAAUCUCCUGCUACACCAUCUCCUAGUUAUCUCCCCCAACAUUUGGGUGGCCAGAUUUAGCAAAUAAAAUUACAGGAUGGCCAGGUAACUUUGCAAUUCAAAUAACAACAAAUUUUUUGUCAGUAAAAGUAUGGCAUAUUUGGGACAAAUACUAAAAAAUUAUUUGUUGUUUAUCUGAAAGAAACCUUGCCUCAUAAUCUGGAAAACUUCAUCACUUCCCUGGCUCUGGGCCAAAGCAAUCAUUUUAAGGUGCUUGGAGCGGGGAAGGGGGGCUGAGAGGAGGGUGGUUUGCUGUGGGUUUCUCCUCCCAGACUUGCCUAAAUUCCCAAGCAGGCAAAUUACUCACUGAGCACCCUGCACCCUAGUGCCUCGGGACCAGUCCAGGAGACAGGGCAGAGGAGGACACAUCUGCCAGGUGGCUCCCAGGGUCCCACCCCCGAGUCAUUCUCAUACUCAGUGCCACUGUUAAUGCCUUCCGCUUUAGCUUAAUUAAGCCAUCUGCCCACAUUAAAUGGUAAAUUAUCUCAAUCACUCCCUGGAUCCCAGAGGGGAGAAAGAGAUGAAAGGAAAAUGUCAUCCCUUG